GUGACCAGCCAAAGCUUUAUUCUAAGUGAAAUAAGCCAAACUCCAAAGGCUGCAUGCCGUAUGAUUGUAUUUACAUGGCAUUCUGGUCUGGAAAAGGCAAAGCAGGGGAGAGAGUUGUCAGAUCAGUGAAUACUAGGGGCUGAGAGAGGAGGGAGGAGCGUGGACGCAAAGGGGCAGGAGAGGCUCUUGAGGGAGUAAUGGAAACGUCCUAUCAUGACUGUGCAUUAGUCUGCCAGGGCCGCCGUACCAAAAUACUGCAGACUGGGUGGCUUCAACAACAGACAUUUGUCCUCUCACAGGUCUGGAGGCUGGGAGUCCAAGAUCAAGAUGCUGGCAGGGUUGGUGUCAUCUGAGUCAUCUUUGGUGUCUCUCUGUAUGUCCAACUUUUGUCAUCUUAUAAGAACACUUGUCAUUGGAUUAGGGCCCACCCUUAUGGCCUCAUUUAACCUUAAUUACCUCUUUAAAGGCCCUACCUUCAAAUAUUGUCACAUUCUGAGAUCCUGGGGGUUAGGCUUUCACCAUAGGAAUGGGGGUGGUGGCAAAAUUCAGCUCAUGACAACCGUGGUGGCAUUUACACAACUGAAUACAUUUGUCACAACUCACCAAGUAUAUAUGAUUGUGUACCUGUUAUAUUAUAUACUAUAAUCAUAUAAAACUAUGUAAUAUUUUUCAUUUAUAGUUUAUGCCCUUUGUUUUUAUUUUCGUUUAGUUUGAAACAUCUCCUAAUAUCAACUAUAUAUAGUUGCGUACACUUAAAGGGUGAACUUUUUUGUGUACAAAUACAAUACUAAUAACUAAUAAUUCAAUACCUUAUUUUUUUAAAGAGACAAUGAGUACAUUUCUUUUAGUUUUUGUAUUUAACAAAUUUUUAACUAGCACAUUGAUGCAAAUUCUUAAUGAAGCCACCAAAUGUCCUAUUAAUGAUACAGGAAUUUUCUGUAGAAAAUCUUGGGGAGGAGUUUGGUAACUCUCACAUAAUUAAGGGCAUUUUCCUAAGGUCAUUCUAGUUUGUGAAAAGAAAAUAGAUAAUGAGUUGUAACCUAUUGCCAUAUGUUCGCAUUUAUCUUCAGAAGUAUAGCUCUUGGAAAUGCAGCCACUGAAAACCAGCGGAACACUGUACAACUACAUUACACAUUCCAAGGUCAGUCCACUCACCCAGAGUGAGUUAUUCUUAAAUACAAAAAAUGCUAGUGACCAUUUACUGAUACCAUGCUGUAAUUCUUCAAAUGUCUAAUGACUACAUCAUCUUAGAAAUGACCGUGUUGAAAAUGUAAAAGUAACCUUCUACUAAAGUUUCUAGGUAAGAUCUUAAAUGUCUCUCUUAUGCUCCCAUUUUUAUUUGGGCAACUUUUGGCAAUUAUCUGCUAGGAACAUCUGGGAGGACACAAAAGACAAUAUGGGUUUCCAAGAACAAGCUAGACCAGCUGGCUUGCCAAAUGUCAGCAUAUGGGGGUGAGGAGGACUGUGAUUUGGAUUUGUGGAGGUCAUGCUACGUGGCUUAGCCAUGAAGACCUCUAUCACAGAACGCCACUGUAUGUCUAAGUUUAAAUUCAUCCUCACAGUUGUACAAACAACUUAAAAGUGAAAAUAAAUGAUGUAACUUCUCCAUGUGGAAAUUAUUGCUAAAAACUAGUAUUGUCAUUAAAAUAUUUAAUAUAUGACAGGUCUAAAUACCAGUUACAGCAUUUAUACCAAUGUACCUUGUUUUAGGAUCUACAAAUAAAAUGCCACUGCUGGCAACUUCUUCAGAUUGAACACUACUGCUGACAGGAGAGAGUCCCAGCAGACUCUCACAGUCCCACAGUAUACUUCCUGGGAAAAUCAAAUAAUUCUGAUCUACAAAAGAUAUAGGAGAAACGUCUAAGACAUUCAUCUAUUUGCUACUUUGUGAUGACUAGCUGGACUCCAGCCUAGACUCAAAAAACCAAUUUGUGAAGCAGUUGGGCACAGGCAUACCACUUAGUAAUGCUCUGACAAGGAAAUAUGUACUCGGAACGCAUUGCAUGUGUAGUGGAUUUGGGCAUAUCUUCACUGAAUACUUGAAAAAAUAAAGACAGCAGGAAUCAGAAAAAGUUUCAAUUGUUGAAAAUGCAUGAGAGAUUCUCAUGUUCUUUUUUUUUUUUUUUUGGCAAC
ensembl:lncRNA